rnacentral:misc_RNA from 1 species
AUUUUUUACACCGAAAUCUAAAGUAAGCCACAUGCGCGCACAAAUUUAACGUGCGCACUUGGAAGCCUCAGGGAGGGAGAGUGUUCUCCAGCUCUCAAUGAUGGUGGACGACGAUGACGUGGGCUUCGGCGAGUUCAAGUUAUCGUCGUUGAAUCCUACAGUCCAUUCUAAUCCCACUGUGAUCGACGGGCGAGAUUCAGCUGUAGCUGCUGCCACCGAUGAUGACGACUGGGGAGAUUUUGAUAACUCCGGUGGGCUAGCCCACACCCUGUCGCUCCCCCAAAUCUCGAAGCCCCUUGACCUGUUCGAUUUCUCUACAGAACAAAAAAUGAAAAACAACGAAUCUGAAUUGAACCAACCUGGUUCAGCUCCUGGUCGGGUUAACUCGGACAUGGCUCAGUGGGAAAAGCCAAAAGGAGCUUUGCCUCUUUCGAUCUUCGGAGACCUAGAGGAACAGGAAGAAGAAUCAGGUGCGGCGAGGGAUCCAUCUUUUGGCAAUGGUGGUGCGCGCUUGUUCUCUAGUAAAAAUGUUGAUUCUGUAAAGAAUGGAUCUGGUGUAAAUGUGAAUGACUUGGUUGCUAAUUUGUACAAACAGAGUGAUCCUAAAAAUGGGUUUACACCAGAUUUGAGCGGGUCGAAUUCUGUAGACGAAACGAAUAAGUACGACACAAAUUCGGAUUUGAAUUUGAGUUUACUGAAUUUAGGUGUAGUCGAACCUAAUCAGAAUGCACAUCCACCGGAUUCGAGUUGGAAUUGGGUAUUUCCGAAUGCGAAUGACUUGAACGCAAAUGGUAAAGAUGAGAUAAAAUUGAAUUCACAUUGGUCAAAUUUGGAUUGGGAUCCAUUGAAUUUGAAUACAAACGUAAUGAAUUCAAACAAAGAUGGGACGAAUUCGGUUUCAAAAGAGGUAAAAUGGGGCUCAAACGGAGGUAAUUCCCUUUUGGUUGCUGACAAUGGGGGAUAUGAUAAUGGUGAUGAUGAUGAUGGGUGGGAAUUCAAGGAUGCAGAACCCAAAACUCCGGUGGGUGAUGAGAUUUCUAAGACGAACCAUUUCAAGAGUAACAACGGGCCAGUACCUAAUCUUAAUGGAUCCAGUUCAAAUUGGAAUGAAUUGAACUUGGAAUUUAAUGGGUGGAACUCUAAUUUUAAUAGUGUUAAUUCAAGUACAAAUUCUAUGAAUCCGGGUCUGGUUGGUGAAAGUAGAGAAGUCGUUGAUGAUGGUGAUGGGGAUGAUGAAGAUGAUGGGUGGGAGUUCAUGGUUGCAGAUUCCAAGCCUCAGGUUGGAGAUGAUAAGGAUGGCCAGAUCAAGACUGAACCUAUGCCAAUCCCGAAUUUUAAUGGGACUGGUUUAAGCUGGGAUGUGUUAAGUUCAGAUUCCAGUGGGUUGAAUCCAAAUGAGGUGAAAUCAGAUGAGAAACAUUUUACCGCGAACUUAAUUGCUGAAAAGAAGGAUUCUGGGAAUGCUGAUGGAUGGGCCUUCGAGGGUACAGAACUAGAAUUGCAGGAUGAUGAGAGAAUGCCAGAAAAUUUUGAGGGAGCUCUAUACACAUUUGGUUUUGGCAAUGGUGUACAUGGUCAAUCAGACUUUGGAUUUGAUUUCAACUCAAGCUAUAAAAAUAAGCAGAAUGAUAUUGAAAACAAGUUGCAUUAUCCCCAAGUUGAUGCAAAAGCUGGUUCUGAUGAACACUCCUGGGCAUUUAAGGAUGCUUUUUCCGAAGCUGAAUCAAAGGAGCCCAAGGUUGCUGAACUUGCUCUUGCUGUGGAACCAUUGGUAUUUGGUGAUGAGGUCCAGGUGGAUGAUUCAUUUCAUAUGCUUAGUAUUUCGAUGGAACUCUAUCCAGUGAAAUUCAGUAAAUUGUCCCUUGCAUUUAAGAGCAAAUCGCAUGCAUAUCAUUCUGCUCUAAAAAAUGCAUCUUAACCAUCUAAAAACAUGAGAAGCUACUAAGUAUUUCCCACUGUCUGUUUUAUUUAUCGAAUGCAAUGUUUCUCCAUUUUUCGAUUGCCUGGUAGUUUUAAUUUCUUUAACUGGACUUCUAUUCUUAUUUACCAACUUAUUAUGUUUGAUUCAAUGCAUGACAAUGACAAAGUGAAGGUCGUUGGUGGAACAUGCUUUCACACAUAAAGUUUUGCUCUUUCACACACAAAGUUUUGCUCUUUCACUGAUGUAUUUCCUUCUUUAUGCUCAGGGGAACAAGGUUAACACAGAAAACCACGAGGGAGCCUUGCCUCUGUCCCUUUUUGGUGAUGAAGAAACAGAAGCAGAUGAUCCCAUGAUCCAUCAAGACAUUUCAACUCAGAAGUCCACGUCUGAUCAAAGGGUUGACAUUAAGGGUCCCCAUUUAAAUAUUUCUAUCAAUGAUCUAAUAUCAAGUUUAUAUAGUCGAGCUGAGCAGAGUACUUCAGUUAAUGAUGAACAAAGUCUCAGAGAAAAGGGAUCGAGUUCCACCAAAAGUGUGAUGACCUCUAAUUUGGCAAAUGCUAAUCAUGAUUUUGAUGAUGAUUCCUGGGAAUUUCAAGAUGCCUCUACAGGAGCCAGAGCUGAAGACCAGACCUCUGUUCAUGGUCUUCAAGAGUGUCAUACAAAAUAUUCUACCAAAAUAGAGCUAAAUGAUUAUGUGGAAUUCUUUUCCAAAUUGAAGGAUGAACUGCACUAUGUUGCACUCUGCCAUCUGGAAAAUCUAAAGGUUAGUUGACUGCCCAACCUCUUCCUCCCUGCUCCACAAUUGAAAGUUGAAUCACUAAUUGAUGCAGCAUAAGAAGGAUAAUCAAAUUAGGAUAUAUUUAGGAAUUAUUUUUAUUGUAGAAUUAGGAAGUUUAAUUUAGAGUUUUAAUAUUUAGGAAUUUUAUUAUUAUUAUUAUGUCUAUAUCUUAUUUAGUAUUCUUAAUUAGAGUUGAAUUAGCAUUUCUAUUCCUAAUUUGCUUAGCAUUGUAAACUCUAUAGAUAAAGUUUUUCUAUUAUUAGGUAGAUUUGCUAUGAUAAUUUUAUGAGAUCAAUAAUAUUU